GAAAAUUAAGUCUAACGGUAGGACGCCUUCCAUUGUCGUGAGGGUAAUCUGGGUUCAAAUCCCGGAGUUUUCG